rnacentral:lncRNA from 1 species
AUGUUUCGAUAAACACAAUUAAUAGUGUCAUAUUAAUUUAAAGGGGCAAUUGCUUACAUACUCUUAAAAAGUUCUCAACUUUCUGAUUUAUCACUUUUAGAAGGCUAAUAUUCAAAAUAUCUUUUUUACGUUCCAACUUAUUUCAAAUAUACCUCUAGAGUUAAAAUCUGUUAAUAAACUCUGUUAUCUGUAUAAAAUUACUAUUUUGCCCUUUCAUAUAUACCCUUCGACUAUCACCAACUUUUCAACUUUUCUUAUUUGCCCUUAAGUCAAAGGCACAAAAAGUAUUUUGAUUUUUGAUCUUUUUAAAUAUACCCUUUUACCGUCACCAACAUUUCUUAUUUGCUCUUAAGUUAAGAGCAAAAUUGGUAUUUUAAUUUUUUUUAACUGUAGUAUACAUUUAACUCAUGUUUAACCCAAAUUAACUUUUAACAGGGGAUAACUGCGGGAGUAUUUUGCAAUAACGGUGGAACAUAUGAAGGAUAUUUUAGAAAGAAAAAAAAAAAGGUAAAUCAAAUAUUUUCAAACAUAUAAGGGGUAUAUAGCUAAUUAUCCCUAAUUUAAAAGUAAAUGCCCAAAGAGUCAUUAAAUCCAAACAAAUUUGCACUUA